AUGGAGAUUUGAUGGGAUCUUUGACUAGUUUUGAUGUUGGAUAAACUCCAAAUAUUUUAGUACAUUUUUUUUUUUACUAGAUCAGUCAUGUCGCCCUUAUUUCAUCAAAUUUGCAAGAUCAAUUAAUUAAUUUGCAGCGGUUAUAUCAAAAUGGACUCCCAAGUCUGAAUCAACAAUGAAACCCUUUUGUUCCUUUUGAUCAGUCUUUCACAUGCACC
rnacentral:lncRNA from 1 species